UGAAUAAACAAGUCAUGGUAUGUUCAUAUAGUGAAAUAUCUUAAUUUUUUUUUAAAUGACACAUCACCACAGGGUUGAGUCACACAGACAUCAUACUGAGU